rnacentral:rRNA from 1 species
GAGUUUGAUCCUGGCUCAGAUUGAACGCUGGCGGCAGGCCUAACACAUGCAAGUCGAGCGGUAACAGGGGUAGCUUGCUACCCGCUGACGAGCGGCGGACGGGUGAGUAAUGCAUAGGAAUCUGCCCGAUAGUGGGGGAUAACCUGGGGAAACCCAGGCUAAUACCGCAUACGUCCUACGGGAGAAAGGGGGCUNCGGCUCCCGCUAUUGGAUGAGCCUAUGUCGGAUUAGCUAGUUGGUAAGGUAAUGGCUUACCAAGGCAACGAUCCGUAGCUGGUCUGAGAGGAUGAUCAGCCACAUCGGGACUGAGACACGGCCCGAACUCCUACGGGAGGCAGCAGUGGGGAAUAUUGGACAAUGGGGGCAACCCUGAUCCAGCCAUGCCGCGUGUGUGAAGAAGGCCCUCGGGUUGUAAAGCACUUUCAGCGAGGAAGAACGCCUAUCGGUUAAUACCCGGUAGGAAAGACAUCACUCGCAGAAGAAGCACCGGCUAACUCCGUGCCAGCAGCCGCGGUAAUACGGAGGGUGCAAGCGUUAAUCGGAAUUACUGGGCGUAAAGCGCGCGUAGGUGGCUUGAUAAGCCGGUUGUGAAAGCCCCGGGCUCAACCUGGGAACGGCAUCCGGAACUGUCAGGCUAGAGUGCAGGAGAGGAAGGUAGAAUUCCCGGUGUAGCGGUGAAAUGCGUAGAGAUCGGGAGGAAUACCAGUGGCGAAGGCGGCCUUCUGGACUGACACUGACACUGAGGUGCGAAAGCGUGGGUAGCAAACAGGAUUAGAUACCCUGGUAGUCCACGCCGUAAACGAUGUCGACCAGCCGUUGGGUGCCUAGAGCACUUUGUGGCGAAGUUAACGCGAUAAGUCGACCGCCUGGGGAGUACGGCCGCAAGGUUAAAACUCAAAUGAAUUGACGGGGGCCCGCACAAGCGGUGGAGCAUGUGGUUUAAUUCGAUGCAACGCGAAGAACCUUACCUACCCUUGACAUCUACAGAAGCCGGAAGAGAUUCUGGUGUGCCUUCGGGAACUGUAAGACAGGUGCUGCAUGGCUGUCGUCAGCUCGUGUUGUGAAAUGUUGGGUUAAGUCCCGUANCGAGCGCAACCCUUGUCCUUAUUUGCCAGCGAGUAAUGUCGGGA